rnacentral:rRNA from 1 species
GAUGAACGCUGGCGGCGUGCUUAACACAUGCAAGUCGAACGGGAAAUAUUUCAUUGAGACUUCGGUGGAUUUGAUCUAUUUCUAGUGGCGGACGGGUGAGUAACGCGUGGGUAACCUGCCUUAUACAGGGGGAUAACAGUCAGAAAUGGCUGCUAAUACCGCAUAAGCGCACAGAGCUGCAUGGCUCAGUGUGAAAAACUCCGGUGGUAUAAGACGGACCCGCGUUGGAUUAGCUGGUUGGUGGGGUAACGGCCCACCAAGGCGACGAUCCAUAGCCGGCCUGAGAGGGUGAACGGCCACAUUGGGACUGAGACACGGCCCAGACUCCUACGGGAGGCAGCAGUGGGGAAUAUUGCACAAUGGGGGAAACCCUGAUGCAGCGACGCCGCGUGAAGGAAGAAGUAUCUCGGUAUGUAAACUUCUAUCAGCAGGGAAGAUAG